rnacentral:rRNA from 1 species
GACGAACGCUGGCGGCGUGCUUAACACAUGCAAGUCGAACGGAAAGGCCUCUUUCGGGGGCUGCUCGAGUGGCGAACGGGUGAGUAACACGUGAGUAACCUGCACUUGACCUUGGGAUAACUUCAGAAAACUGGGGCUACUACCGGAUAGGAGCUCCUGCUGCGUGGUGGGGGUUGGGUAGUUUCGGCGGUUGGGGAUGGACGCGCGGCUUAUCAGCAUGUUGGUGGGGCAGUGGCUUACCAAUGCGGUGCCGGGUAGCCGGCCGGAGAGGGUGAACAGCAACAACAGGACUGCUGAACGGCGCAGACGACUACGGGGGGCAGCAGCGGUGAAUAAUGCACCAUGGGGGGAAGCCGGAUGCAGCAACGCCGUGGGCGGGAUGAAGGACGUCGGGGUGUAAUACGCUUUUGCUCAUGGCGAAGCUUUGUGUGACGGUAGUGGGUAAAGAAGCACCGGCUAACUACGUG